rnacentral:rRNA from 1 species
GACGAACGCUGGCGGCGUGCUUAACACAUGCAAGUCGAACGGAAAGGCCCUGCUUUUGUGGGGUGCUCGAGUGGCGAACGGGUGAGUAACACGUGAGUAACCUGCCCUUGACUUUGGGAUAACUUCAGGAAACUGGGGCUAAUACCGGAUAGGAGCUCCUGCUGCAUGGUGGGGGUUGGAAAGUUUCGGCGGUUGGGGAUGGACUCGCGGCUUAUCAGCUUGUUGGUGGGGUAGUGGCUUACCAAGGCUUUGACGGGUAGCCGGCCUGAGAGGGUGACCGGCCACAGUGGGACUGAGAUACGGCCCAGACUCCUACGGGAGGCAGCAGUGGGGAAUAUUGCACAAUGGGCGGAAGCCUGAUGCAGCAACGCCGCGUGCGGGAUGACGGCCGUCGGGUUGUAAACCGCUUUCGCCUGUGACGAAGCGUGAGUGACGGUAAUGGGUAAAGAAGCACCGGCUAACUACGUG